rnacentral:rRNA from 1 species
GACGAACGCUGGCGGCGUGCUUAAUACAUGCAAGUCGAGCGGAGCUUCAGUUGAUAGUUUACUAUUGGUUGAAGCUUAGCGGCGGACGGGUGAGUAACGCGUGGGCAACCUGCCCUCUAGCCUGGGAUAACAGCGCGAAAGUGCUGCUAACACCGGAUAUGCUCACAGGGAGGCAUCUCCCAGUGAGGAAAGUUUACACUAGAGGAUGGGCCCGCGUCCCAUUAGCUAGUUGGUGAGGUAACGGCCCACCAAGGCGACGAUGGGUAGCCGACCUGAGAGGGUGAUCGGCCACACUGGGACUGAGACACGGCCCAGACUCCUACGGGAGGCAGCAGUAGGGAAUUUUCCGCAAUGGGCGCAAGCCUGACGGAGCAACGCCGCGUGAGGGAUGAAGUUUUCGGAUCGUAAACCUCUGUCUUCAGGGACGAUAAUGACGGUACCUGAGGAGGAAGCCACGGCUAACUACGUGCCAGCAGCCGCGGUAAGG